CGAAAGGUCCGCUAAUACCGCAUAUGCCGCAAGGUGAAAGGAGUAAUCCGUCUAAAGAUGAGCCCGCGUCCGAUUAGCUAGUUGGUAGAGUAAGAGCCUACCAAGGCGACGAUCGGUAGCUGGUCUGAGAGGAUGAUCAGCCACAAUGGGACUGAGACACGGCCCAUACUCCUACGGGAGGCAGCAGUGGGGAAUUUUACGCAAUGGGGGAAACCCUGACGUAGCGACACCGCGUGAGCGAAGAAGCCCUUUGGGGUGUAAAGCUCUGUCAGCUGGAACGAAAACAAUGACGGUACCAGCAGAGGAAGCAUCGGCUAACUACGUGCCAGCAGCCGCGGUAAGACGUAGGAUGCGAGCGUUGUCCGGAUUUAUUGGGCGUAAAGAGUUCGUAGGUGGUUUGUUAAGUUUGGUGUUAAAGAUCGGGGCUCAACCCUGGGACUGCACUGAAUACUGGCAGACUCGAGUGUGGUAGAGGCUAGUGGAAUUCCCAGUGUAGCGGUGAAAUGCGUAGAUAUUGGGAAGAACACCGGUGGCGUAGGCGACUAGCUGGGCCAUAACUGACGCUGAGGAACGAAAGCC
rnacentral:rRNA from 1 species